rnacentral:rRNA from 1 species
UACGAAGGGGGCUAGCGUUGCUCGGAAUCACUGGGCGUAAAGGGUGCGUAGGCGGGUUUUUAAGUCAGAGGUGAAAUCCUGGAGCUCAACUCCAGAACUGCCUUUGAUACUGAAAGUCUUGAGUAUGGGAGAGGUGAGUGGAACUGCGAGUGUAGAGGUGAAAUUCGUAGAUAUUCGCAAGAACACCAGUGGCGAAGGCGGCUCACUGGCCCAUUACUGACGCUGAGGCACGGAAAGCGUGGGGAGCAAACAGG